rnacentral:rRNA from 1 species
GAUGAACGCUGGCGGCGUGCUUAACACAUGCAAGUCGAACGGAAAGGCUCCUGCUUGCAGGGGUACUCGAGUGGCGAACGGGUGAGUAACACGUGGGUGAUCUGCCCUGCACUUCGGGAUAAGCCUGGGAAACUGGGUCUAAUACCGGAUAGGACGAUGGUUUGGAUGCCAUUGUGGAAAGUUUUUUCGGUGUGGGAUGAGCUCGCGGCCUAUCAGCUUGUUGGUGGGGUAAUGGCCUACCAAGGCGUCGACGGGUAGCCGGCCUGAGAGGGUGUACGGCCACAUUGGGACUGAGAUACGGCCCAGACUCCUACGGGAGGCAGCAGUGGGGAAUAUUGCACAAUGGGCGCAAGCCUGAUGCGGCGACGCCGCGUGGGGGAUGACGGCCUUCGGGUUGUGAACUCCUUUCGCUAGGGACGAAGCGCAAGUGACGGUACCUGGAGAAGAAGCACCGGCUAACUACGUG